rnacentral:rRNA from 1 species
GACGAACGCUGGCGGCGUGCUUAACACAUGCAAGUCGAACGGAAAGGCCCUGCUUUUGUGGGGUGCUCGAGUGGCGAACGGGUGAGUAACACGUGAGUAACCUGCCCUUGACUUUGGGAUAACUUCAGGAAACUGGGGCUAAUACCGGCUAGGAGCUCCUGCUGCAUGGUGGGGGUUGGAAAGUUUCGGCGGUUGGGGAUGGACUCGCGGCUUAUCAGCUUGUUGGUGGGGUAGUGGCUUACCAAGGCUUUGACGGGUAGCCGGCCUGAGAGGGUGACCGGCCACAUUGGGACGGAGAUACGGCCCAGACUCCUACGGGAGGCAGCAGUGGGGAAUAUUGCACAAUGGGCGGAAGCCUGAUGCAGCAACGCCGCGUGCGGGAUGACGGCCUUCGGGUUGUAAACCGCUUUCGCCUGUGACGAAGCGUGAGUGACGGUAAUGGGUAAAGAAGCACCGGCUAACUACGUG